UUACCUCAUUUUAGUGUGCCAUAAGGCACAGGUUGGCUUGUUCGGUUGAGGUUUCCUCAUCGAAGCUUGAGUCAUCACUCGCACUCCAUGUGGCCAUCAUGGCCUUCUUCUUGAACUUCUUGGGAUCUUUCUUCAGUUGUGGGCAUUUGGAUUUGAAGUGUCCCGGCUUCUUGCACUCGUAGCAGAUAAGGGGUUGGUCUUUCUCUUUUUCUUUGCUUUGUUCCCCUUUUGUGAGUGGCCUCUUCCUCAUCUCCUGUUUCCU
rnacentral:lncRNA from 1 species